rnacentral:rRNA from 1 species
UACGUAGGGUGCGAGCGUUGUCCGGAAUUAUUGGGCGUAAAGAGCUCGUAGGCGGUGUGUCGCGUCGGCCGUGAAAACCUGGGGCUCAACUCUGGGCGUGCGGUCGAUACGGGCAUCACUUGAGUUCGGCAGGGGAGACUGGAAUUCCUGGUGUAGCGGUGAGAUGCGCAGAUAUCAGGAGGAACACCGGUGGCGAAGGCGGGUCUCUGGGCCGAUACUGACGCUGAGGAGCGAAAGCAUGGGUAGCGAACAGG